UUUCUUCUUCUACCAGGAGGUAUGCAGCUUCAUACAGAGCUAACAUUCCUUUGCAUUCGUCACUGUGGCUUGAUAACUUAAAGCUCCCCUUCUCAUCCAUGAAACGUGAAAAACUUUCUACAAGCACAUGUACAUACAUGUGCAUGCAUGCAUUUCAAUCAUUCGUAUAAAUUAGUAAAUAAUCGAGCUCAAAGAACUAAAAUGAAUGUCUUUCAAGAUCGAUGAAUAAAGAAUGUAAAUUUUUACAAAAAUGCUAAGGAGACGUAAGCACAUUCGGAAACAGUGAUAAACCGAUGCCAGCAAUUUACCUUUGUUUUUCAAUUAAGUAAACCGGCAUUAGUUUUUUGGUGUUUCUAUUAUUUUUUUGUUUAAGUAUCAUUGCACGAAAUUGCGUGAAUGCGUACCUUUUACAGGUGUAUUGUAACCAUAUUGCCUUAGGAUUCUAAAUUUGAGUGCUGUGGCAUAUAAACUUUUAUUAGUAUUCUUGUUGUGUAUCCUAUCCAAAGUUCUUUUUA
rnacentral:lncRNA from 1 species